GACGAACGCUGGCGGCACGCUUAACACAUGCAAGUCGAACGGAGAAUAUCGAAGCUUGCUUUGAUAUUCUUAGUGGCGGACGGGUGAGUAACACGUGAGUAACCUGCCUCUGAGAGUGGGAUAGCUUCUGGAAACGGAUGGUAAUACCGCAUGAAAUCAUAGUAUCGCAUGGUACAAUGAUCAAAGAUUUAUCGCUCAGAGAUGGACUCGCGUCUGAUUAGCUAGUUGGUAAGGUAACGGCUUACCAAGGCGACGAUCAGUAGCCGGACUGAGAGGUUGAUCGGCCACAUUGGGACUGAGACACGGCCCAGACUCCUACGGGAGGCAGCAGUGGGGAAUAUUGCACAAUGGGGGAAACCCUGAUGCAGCGAUGCCGCGUGGAGGAAGAAGGUUUUCGGAUUGUAAACUCCU
rnacentral:rRNA from 1 species